rnacentral:rRNA from 1 species
CCAGACAUAAACCUAGAUAGCACACACACACUCUAUCCGCCAGAGAACUACCAGCGAAAAGCUAAAAACUCAAAGGACUUGACAGCGUCCCACAUCAGCCUAGAGGAGCCUGUCCUAUAAUCGACACCCCACGUUAUACCCAACCUGUCCUUGCCUACCAGCCUAUAUACCGCCGCCUUCCGCCUACCUAAUGAUAGCCCCAAUAGGCAAAACAGCAGCCCGCUAAAACGUCAGGUCAAGGUGUAGCUAAUGGACAGGAAGAGAUGGGCUACAUUUUCUACCACCAGAAAACACCACCGCGUCAUGAAACUCACGCUUAAAGGCGGAUUUAGUAGUAAGCUCAGCAAGACAAGCCAAACUGAAAUACGCUCUGGGACG